rnacentral:rRNA from 1 species
UUCGGUGGCUAUAGCGAGGGGGAAACACCUCUUCCCAUUCCGAACAGAGAAGUUAAGCCCCUCAGCGCCGAUGGUACUUGGGGCGCAGGCCCCCGGGAGAGUAGGUCGCCGCCGGAU